CGUUAGAAUGUUUAGACACUUAAAUAGCACAUUUUUACAAGAACAAUGUCCGAGAAUAUUGCCUAACAAAAGAUAAGGUUAAUGUUAGCCGCAAAGUUUAAAGAAAAUUAAACUCAC